rnacentral:ncRNA from 1 species
UAUCGUUUGCACUGAUCCCUUUCCAAAUGAUUGUGUGCCUAAAAUAAUCGCUCUCUUAUGAUCUUGAAGUGCUCCUGCGACUAUCUCCGAAGCUGAAGCAGAACCUGUAUUUAUCAGCACUACCAUAGGAAGUCCUGCGGAUAGAUCUCCUGGCUUAGCGUAAAUUCUGGAUGCUUUUUCGGGCUCUCUUCCUCGUGUUGAUACAAUUUCGCCAUAGUCAAGAAAUAUAUCGCUCACUGUUAUUGCUUGGUUUAAAAGUCCCCCAGGAUUAUUUC